rnacentral:tRNA from 1 species
GGAGAAGUGGCCGAGUGGUCGAAGGCGCUCCCCUGCUAAGGGAGUAGGCGGUGUAGAACCGUCUCGAGGGUUCGAAUCCCUUCUUCUCCGCCA